UUUCCGCCCCUUAGUGCUGCAGCUAACGCAUUAAGCACUCCGCCUGGGGAGUACGACCGCAAGGUUGAAACUCAAAGGAAUUGACGGGGGCCCGCACAAGCGGUGGAGCAUGUGGUUUAAUUCGAAGCAACGCGAAGAACCUUACCAGGUCUUGACAUCCUUUGACCACUCUGGAGACAGAGCUUUCCCUUCGGGGACAAAGUGACAGGUGGUGCAUGGUUGUCGUCAGCUCGUGUCGUGAGAUGUUGGGUUAAGUCCCGCAACGAGCGCAACCCUUGAUUUUAGUUGCCAGCAUUUAGUUGGGCACUCUAAAGUGACUGCCGGUGCAAGCCGGAGGAAGGUGGGGAUGACGUCAAAUCAUCAUGCCCCUUAUGACCUGGGCUACACACGUGCUACAAUGGAUAGUACAAAGGGUCGCGAAGCCGCGAGGUGGAGCUAAUCCCAUAAAACUAUUCUCAGUUCGGAUUGUAGGCUGCAACUCGCCUACAUGAAGCCGGAAUCGCUAGUAAUCGUGGAUCAGCAUGCCACGGUGAAUACGUUCCCGGGCCUUGUACACACCGCCCGUCACACCACGAGAGUUUGUAACACCCGAAGUCGGUAGGGUAACCUUUAUGGAGCCAGCCGCCGAAGGUGGGACAGAUAAUUGGGGUGAAGUCGUAACAAGGUAGCCGUAUCGGAAGGUGCGGCUGGAUCACCUCCUUUCUAAGGAA
rnacentral:rRNA from 1 species